CGUUUUCGAGAUAUUACUUAAAAUCGGAAAUCUGACGAGGUGAAACUUCAAGCUAAAGCUAGCGGUAGCGCCUCGACAGUGCCGUAUACUCACAGAUGGCAAUUCUAUUUGUCCUGUAUGCAAUGUAGCAAUAAUUGCACAUAAAAAAGAAUCGAAAAAUGCAGUUAGCUUUGCGCCUUUACCACCAAAAAUACGUGACGAUAGAUGCCGUACCUGCGGUGAAAUUUGUGAGAGUGUAAACAAAUGUAAACAUUGUAAACGUAGAUUUUGUGAUGACUGCUGGUCAAAUCAUGUUAAUGAUUUGAAAGAUGAACUAGGCAAUAUAAAUAGAGAUCUCCAGACAUCAGCAAUAAAAUUUGAAGAUAAAAUAAAUAACUUUCAGAGCAAAGCAAAUGAAACAAUAGAAUUCAUCAAUAGAGACAUCGAAGCUAAAAUAUCUGAACUUAAUAAAAAAAGAGAGAGCCAGAUUAAGAAGAUAGAACAUAUGAUUGCUGCAGGAGGAAUAUCGGUUGACAAUAUUAGACAAAGAAUGCAAAAAACACAGAUGGAGAUAAAGGAACAGAAGGAAGUGUCAUAUAAUACACUAUCUAAUAACGAGGAAAAGGUAUGACAU